rnacentral:rRNA from 1 species
GCAGGCUGCAACCCGCCUGCAUGAAGUUGGAAUCGCUAGUAAUCGCGGAUCAGCAUGCCGCGGUGAAUACGUUCCCGGGCCUUGUACACACCGCCCGUCACACCAUGAGAGUCGGGAACACCCGAAGUCCGUAGCCUGACCGCAAGGGGGCGCGGCCGAAGGUGGGUUCGAUAAUUGGGGUGAAGUCGUAACAAGGUACC